rnacentral:rRNA from 1 species
AUUGAACGCUGGCGGCAGGCCUAACACAUGCAAGUCGAGCGGUUGAGGUAGCUUGCUACCGAUGCAGCGGCGGACGGGUGAGUAAUACAUGGGAAUCUGCCUGGUAGUGGGGGACAACGUUUCGAAAGGAACGCUAAUACCGCAUACGCCCUACGGGGAAAGGGGGGGAUCUUCGGACCUCUCGCUAUCAGAUGAGCCCA